rnacentral:lncRNA from 1 species
UACUCAUUGUUGCACCUCCGCUUCUACACAUUCUUAAAGAACUCUCUCUUGAUUUUCUCUCAUUUGUGACACCUCUUUCUCAAGUAUUUUGAUGCACUCUUUGACAAUAUCGGACACUAAAUUUGCCGAAUUGACAGAAUUUUGAUCUUUAUACAAGGUUGAAGCUUGAGAGCCCAAUCCAUACACACACCAUUUUUUUGCUCUACCCGCAACAUCAAAAUACAUGCGAUUUAUAUCGAGUUCUUGAUCUUCUGAUGAAUCAUCUG